rnacentral:piRNA from 1 species
UGGCACAAUGGCUGACAUAUAUUAGA